AUAUUUUGACUGCAAGUGCCACAAUUUUUGCUCUAGGGCAUACCUUGAUUUUACGUUACCGGCCGUGACUAUGUGCGGUUCACCGCCACUUUUUUGGCGCCGGGGCAUUCAGUGAUUUUAUGCUUCACGGCCGCGAGAGCCUCACGAGGCUCAUCGGUCAGCGCCGCAGGGCAUUAUCUUCUCCGCUGGCUCGUAGCCUCCGCUCUAAGGAUGACUUUGAUUUUGGCGAGGCAUCAUCCGUUAACUCUAAGGAACACGAACGGAUAGUCAAUGGUGGCCUUGAAAGUGGAAACGCUGGGGAGCGAGGCAGUGAGGCCUGUGUUGAGUGGGUCACCUGCCCAGUGUGCACUGACUCAGUGCCAGCAGAUGAUUUGACAUUGAAUUCUCAUCUUGAUGCAUGCCUUGCAAGAGGAAAAAAAAGAAAGUUGAGUCAACGCACUCUUUUGCAACUAAACUUCCUUUCGAAGUCAAGGACAAAAACAUGCUUGAUUGAAGCAAACAAUCCUAAUGUGGAUGAAUGUGAAAAAGAAUUUUUUGAGGAGAAACAACUUUCUAGUUGUCAUCACUCUGAUGUUGUUAUGCUGCAUGAAAAUUGUGAAAGAUGUGAAUCAGUUGAAUGUUUAAACCAUGCUCCUUCAUACAACUCAGAAUCUAGUCGUCUAACAUCCAUAUUAGAAUUAGCAGAUGAAGGAGCUGUUAAAAGCAAGGCAGUACAUCCACAUUUUUCAUCAACAUUCUCUUCAAUAAUCAGGUCACCAAGAAGUGAUUCAUGUAAAGAUAAAGGCACCAAACAUGUUUAUACUCUUGAGACUCUAAUAGUAGGCCGACGAUUUCAUGAAAAAAUUGAGUUGCGACAUGUUGGAAAAGUUUAUGCUCUAAGAGAGUUCCAGAAUUUUAAGGAUGACAAUGCUAUAAAGGUGUUAUGUGACUUUCAAGGAUUCAAAUGUUCGCUUGGAUAUUUACCACGACAACUGGCUAAAUAUUUAUCCCCACUAAUUGAUAAAUAUCAACUCAAUUGUGAGGGAUCAAUAUUGUCUUUUCCCGAGCAUCCCUUGGAUGCUGUUCCUAUUACAUUAUAUUUCCAGAAAAGGGUACAAGAUGGUGACAUCAUUUCUGGCUGUCAACAAGAUUUUGAGUCACUAUGGGAAAAUGUUCUCCAUGCAAAUGAAUGUGCUAAACCACAACCCGUCAGCGUGACCAGAUACCAGAAAAAUUUUUAUCUAAUGCUGAAAGAUGUGUUGGAUAACCAUUCCCACCUUUUCACAAGUGCAGAAAAAUGUUUAAUAGGAUAUUUUUCUUCAUUGUCGGAUGAUGCACAGAGGCUUUUUGUUCGAUUAUAUACUCGAAAAGCAUGCCAAUAUAUUAAUGAGAAAGGGCAGGCCUUGGAGAAAUGGGCCUUUGUUUCGGUUGUCUAAUAUUUCCUACAAGGAGAUUUCAGAUUUAAAUGCAGCAAUCCAUGAAUUGCAGGUGACUGGCUACCUCUGUUCACUUUUUCUAGUGCCCAAACAUUUAAGUACAACAUGAAAGAAGCUCUUGAUUUGUUGACUGU